AAAGCGAGAACUGGAUGAACUUUGGAUCUGUGGCUAAUUCAAUUAAACGGUAAAUUUAAAGGCCAGGAUCAACAGCCAGCAACAUGGUCCGUUUGCCACAUGGCUACUAUAACACAAGGGGACUGCUCUGGGUUGAACAGAAACCGCGUACACAGCAGGGAAGUCAAGAAUAGCAUCACAAACAUUGUGGCGCAAAGGGAAGUACAAUCCGCAAUGAAAGAAGGAGCAGCCUGAGGGUGCAGGGAGUGGCCACAAGGACUCCCUUUUCUUCCCCUGUGCUUGUUUUUGUUUUGUUUUUUGUUAUUGAAUCAAAUUAAUGCAGAAACACCUCGGAGAGCCCAGAUUGUAGAGUCAAGAAGAAGGGAGGCUGCCCUAAAAAAGAAAGUGUGAAUUUAACAGGAUUCUUGUACAGUCUGUGGCAAGGAUUGAAUACAACCCACACUGUCGAACACGAAUCAAGCAUUCUUUUUCAUUCUUUGCUGCCCACCACCAGUAACUGAACAGUU